ACUGUCCGCUGUGCCUUCCGCUCUUGUUCCUUUUCACAGCUUGAUCAUCAGUGAGCUCCAGACGGCACAGAUGUGAUCUCGACACCCAAACAUUCGCCAAAGACCAAACAAGACAAGACAGAUGAAUAAAACACUAUGGACAUAUUUAAAAAAGAAAUAAAUGAAUAUAUAUGUAUAUAUAUAAACGGAACAGAGUUCAGUUAUCGCCAUCGCUAGCGGGACAGAACAGAAAUCGGUGCAUUAUCCGCUUUGUUUAUUUCAUGUUUCGUUGCCUGUAAUGCAUCUUUUUAUGUCCUCAAUCCUGAAUUAUUGAGGCACCAAACUUUGAACAGAAAGACUUCAUGAUUUCUGCUCAGUUUUCUCAGGAAGAUAAUGAUAACGAAGACGUUUUCACCCAAUAACAUGCUGAAAUAAAAAACCCAAACUCACACGUUUCACUGAAGCAGCGAACCCAGACGCUGUGCAGCGAUCGAGAGAAACGUGUCGUCGGUUUCCUGCCAAGACAACACAUGUUACAAAGCUGCCACUGAGGUUUUUAAUGAAUUCCAAAAACACUGUUGCUCUCUGAAGAAAGAAAAAUACAAAAAGACCCGGUGCAAGAAUGUGUGCUGACGUAGUAGCUGACGUAGUAGCCGGAGGAGAGCUGUUCCGUCAGGGUUCUGAGCCGGUGGAACUGCUGACAUAGCAGCUGCUGUUCCAUCAAUAAAAGCCCCCCAUCUACACUUUACACCCCCGUCAAAAGACUACACUUGUAUUCACACGGACAAACACACCCCACACACACACACACACACAAGGACGGCUCUGGACGGGAUGAGACAUUAAUUAUAUGAUGAAGUGUUUUUAUUUUCUAUGAAUACGUGUGGGAUUCAACAUGAUAUAUUACUUUAUAUCUCUGCUGCAAGCUGUUUUUGUUAUAGAUUGCUGUGAUUUCGGAGACAAAGCCGCGGUGGAAGAAGAAGCAGCUCGCCUGUAAAAAAGACACAUCAAUGAUUUUGUAUUAAUCCUUUCAAUGAAAAUGAAACAGAAAUCACCAAAACAACAAAGAAUAAAUAAGCUGAUUUAUUUUAUUUGAUUGGCACCGUGGGAUGGGCUUUCUGAAAAUGUUGAAGGGCCCAAUAAUCCAAACCAUUGGCAGCUGCCCAGCAAAUAGUCACAGAAGUCACAGUUACGUGGGAGAUUUUAUUUUAUUGUUACUCUGAAUGUUGACAAUGGUGUAAAAAUGGCUCCUGAUAUGAAAAACAUUGGCUUCAGUCAAACUACAUCAAGGCAGUGGCUGCAUAAACUGGAGGGUUCAAACUAAUAGAACACAAAUAAUGGACUAAAUAGCCUCACUGGCUUCUUACGUCUUGGUCUUGCAGGAUGUUUCAGCGUGACAGCCUCUUGUAUUAGCCAGCAGCUGGUUAGCUUAGCCUAGCAUUCAGGUCUGUAAACAGCUACCCCGGGUGUUCCAUUAACUCGGGAUUCAAAGAAACAGAAAGCCCUGCUUGUGGUCUCUGCGGUGCUGUCCGUGGUGCUGAACGCUUCCUCGCUCCUGUUUACUGUAGAUUCUUAAACCCUACUCGACAUCCACCACUCACCAUCCGUCAAUAUUUAGCAAAAACCCCUGCAGAGGAUUGACGAAAGUGCAAGCGACUGAAGCAGUUUGUCCCACAGCACUUUACGGCGCUCCUCUGAGACAGAGAGGACGCCGUCUCUCGUCCCGGUCUCUGCUGCAGCUUAAUGACGGAGCGUGUGACAUGUGUUCCUUCAGGCGUGCCCGGGAGUAAUGGGCCCUCCAGUCAACGCUGUUUAUCUUUCCCGGACAGUUGAUGUCCCUCCAAUGUGUCAUUACGCUAACUAGGCAUAGCCUGCAGGCUGCAUGUAAGUGUGUGCGUGCCUGUGUGUGUGUGUGUGUGUGUGUGAGUGUGUGUGCAGAUGUUUCCACCUUGACACACUGAGACAAAACCACUGCUGGAUUCCCAAAACAGCGGCGUUGUGAUUUAUUUACACACUUAAUAAUAAACAUUGACACACGCACGCACACGUGCACACACACAGACACACACACGCACAGACAAAUUGUAAAUGCUUCCUCAUUAGGAUCAAAACAUGCCCAUGUCAGAUGCACAUGCAAAUCAAGCAUGGAAACACACAUACACACACACACACACACGGAUAAUGGUGUUGGGACUGAUGGCUGCAGGCCAAUCUGUUUUACAUGCUGCAGUGUGUGUGUGUGUGUGUGUGUGUGUGUGUGUGUGUGUGUGUGCUGGAGUGUAUCCACCUGUUGCAGAUCGAGUGUCUCCCGCAACCUGAGACGGCCGACAGGCUACUGAAAAUCCACAAGUGUGCCUACUUCCUCUAAACAAUCCAGAGGGAACUUUUGUACUAUUCCUCGGCUAUUGCUUUGCAGAUGUCAUGUUUAUGUAAAAUACUUUUUUGCUACAGUACUGCAUUGAUUUUCUUUCUUUUUUUUUCCAUUUGUAUUCCUACUGUUUGGCUGAUACUUCUGCAUAAGGAUGUGGUGUUGUGUGCAGGCCUCUCGGGGUUCAACCACGGUUUGGUGUUCACUCAGCUGGAGGAUCUGCACCUUAAUAAUGGUUUACUUGGUCCUCAGACAUGAACAUGAUUUGUUGAUGUUAGAAUACCACAUGUCCCAUCUUUAAAAAGAGGAGCAAAGACAUAAAUAAAGUUGAUCACUCAGAUGAUCAUCCCUCUCUUGUUGUUUCCAGCCAACACAUUUAACCGCAGUCUAAUUAAGCCACUUGGUUAAACCACUUGGUUUCGUGGGUCGGCGGAGCGGCGAUGCAUUCUUACAGGACCGCUUUUAAGUGUUUGUUUGCGUGUGUGUUGUCGUUGUGUGCGUGUGUGUGGGGCCUGGAAAUGAUCUGGCCGUUCAUCACUGCCUGAGCAGCUGAGGCUUAAGAGCAUCCAUCCCCCCCCCCCCUUCACAACCAAGGCUGACACUCAAGGUGUUUGUAUGACUUAAUGUUCCUCUCUGCAGGUCUCUGGAGCGGCGUCCACACAGCGCGAGUGUGCGUGUGUGUGUGCGUGUGUGAUUGUUCAGCUGAUGUGAAGGAUUCUGUCUCUGUUUACCUGCCUCCCCGUCUGGAUGUCUGGAGCGACAAAGGUGUAUUUGUAUAAACAUCCAGAGCAGAGGAUGUGCGAGGUCACAAAGCGAUCUGGCUAUUUGAAUGUGUGUGUGUGUGUGUGUCUCACUUUUUUUGUUGUUGUUUGUAUCUCCAUCAACCCAUUAGGACAGCUCCUCCUCGCGUGGAUCAUAUAGGCCUGUCAACCUCUUUGCAGGAAGGUAUUGGCAAACACAAAAGCUCACCAGUCUUAUUGACCGCCUCGGGCGAUGACCUUAGAAGGAGUGCGUGCGCUCCCUCGCUUGUGUGUGAGUGGGUGCUUACAGUCAGAGGCCUUUCUCAUUCGCCCACCAAAGGUCAACCGUCAGACGGUAUUGAGCAGCGCUAAAGGUGAAAGAAAUGUGAAAUAUGUUAAACGAUAAACGAGGGAGCAGCAGGAUCUUAUUCUCCUGUCGCCCAGCUGAGUGGGGUGAGAGAUUUGAGAUGAGUGGGAGCCAACGGGAUACACCUGAAUUAACACUGUGUUGGUGCAUCUGAUCAAGCGUGGGAAUAAUAUCAUAAUAUCAAAAAUGUUAAGAUAUUUGUUGUGUUUUCUAGAUUUUCUGUGAUGGAUUUAGCUCUUUGUGUAAAGAGUCCAUCACUCGCUGCCCUGCCAAUGAUUCCCGGCUGAGUCCAGGACCUUCGAAACAUCAACACUGGAAACAUUUAACCUUCCCGCUCUCCUGUAUGAAUGAAGUGCCUCCGAAGAGCUGAAUCGAUUCCUCAUUAACAUAUAAUAUUAUUAUUAUUUUUAACAAAGCACAUCAUAAUCGUGACAAAGAUUUACUGCAGAGCUCAUGAACAGAUCCCCCUUGAAAUUUCAUGAUUGUUAUUUUUUUUUCAAUCCAUGUGUCGAAAGGUCAAUAUUGUAGACAAGUUGUAUAUUUGCUGAACACAGUUUGGAAAACAGAUAAAACAGAAUCUCUGUGUGCAAUGUAAAAAAAAAAAGAAAAAGAAACACAACACACAAGUUCCCUUCUGCCAUUUCUUCUUCCAUUUGUCGGUUUCUAUUGAAAUCAACACGAUUUAACACGGAGUGCAUGAAAUAAACAA